rnacentral:lncRNA from 1 species
UCAUUUCAAAGUCCACAAAGAAGAAAAACAUCAAGCUAUCAUUAUUAAUACAACCAUUAUUGAUACAACAGCUUUGAUGUGGAGAUUAAAAAUAAAAAAUCCGCUGCGUUGACAAUGUCAAAGGACCUUGAAAUCUGUGGAUUCCUUUUCUUUUUCUUUUUCAUUAAUAGAUAUUCUUAGAUCCAAGUUGUUCUCUAACUGGGUCCAUCGCAGGCCAUCUACCCACAACCACCAUGAGGGAGCAGGCUACUUUCAGCCGGAUAAGCCUCAAAGUAUAAGGCCAUCUAUAUUAACGACACUACCGGGCUGCUGCUAGCAUUGGCGAGCCUUCAACUCACACGACCAGCCCUCCAUAUUCCAAAAGAGUUGAGGGACUCGGAUGCUUUACUGAGAUGGCAACUGAUAGACAGAACUGACCGGGAAAGAGCAAGAGACCAAGAUUUAUUUGAUGUCUUCUCCACUGGGAAUUCAAUAAGAUUUCCAUAUCUAGCAUGUAGAAAAGACAUUUGUUUCAACCUUCUAGUUUUCUUUUUAAGUUGAUCGAGCAAACACGAUAUGUUUCUAAACAAAUGGGUCUUCUCGGAUUUGAAACAUCAGUAUUGCCUGAGUCACUUGCAUUCAUUUCAGGUGAUAACCAAUCCAGAGCAGAAGAGUGCCCAGCAGCAUUCCCUUGCUCUUGAUGGAAGGAUGGCUGCCAUUUCUAUUAACAUGAUCCUGGCAGUUUCGCAACAGCCAACAGGGAUAUGAUUUUUGAAGGACUCGCCAUUCUGUGAAGCAACAUCUGUUUUUUAAACUAGGUGAUCAAAAAGAAAGAAUCUAUUGUUAGAAACCCAUACAAGAAAAAGAGAAGGGUCCCUAGUUUCAAGCUUGUGCUAGUUGUCCAUUACACAUCCUUGCAUUACGGCAUUAUAAGAAAUGUGAGCUUCAUCCAUACCCAUUAGGGAUUUUGUUACCUCUGUCCCGUUGUUCUCUGAUUUUACAGAUUAGUUUUAGUUUUUUCGAUGAGGUCAAUAUGUGGUAGGUUCACGGGUUUAAAAUGAGGGACCAAACUGCUGAUAGGGAUUGACACAGCUCAUGCACUCCAUUAGCUUCUCACAAGUCAUUAAAAAUCGGGUCACGCUCCGUUCAAGAAUAUGUUAAAAUAACAUAGUGAUAGUCACGCACAGUAAUGACUAUAGGAGUACAAGUUGAGCAACAGCACCUUGCUUAAGAGAUAGGAAAGCUACUUCCACGAGUAAUGACAUGUUAGAACAAUAUAGCAAAAGGAAUCAUGAAACCUUUAGAAGAAAAUGACAAUACUUCAACAUUUAGUACUUGAAAGACAAUAUAUAAGCUAAGGGAUUGCCUAUGCAGUAUGUGAAUUGGAUCAGAGCAUGUGUGGCUAGUCCUUUCUCCAUUUCUAUUAAUGGCAAUUUGUGUAGGUAUUUGCUGGCUCUAAAGGGCUUCGGCAAGGAGAUCCUCUUUCCCCU